CGACAAAGUAUAAACAUCGUAUUUUGGACGAGAUCCAGCGUGGUCGCCAUUAUAUUAUAUUAUGAUACGUGCGCACCCAGGCCACUCUGAACGACGGGCACGUCAAAGUCUGACAUCGUGAUCAUCGACUUUCUGAAAAUCGAGCCCAAGUCGUAUACUGCGCCAUUGCUGUAGCCGCUGCCGCCGCCGUCUCAGCCAGAUGUGUUUAAUAAUAAUAAAAUACAUUUAUUAUUAUUACAGUGGCGACGCGAGUUAUAAUAAACCACUGAAACUGUGUCAAACGAUCCGGGGACCGCGGAUUAUGUAAACGGUGGGGCGAGGCAUCGUGCAGUUUGUGGCGGCGGUGGAUAAGAGAACAUCAUACGCAUACCUACCCAUUUGAAUUUCGUGAGAAGACUUGCUGCUGUGAUUUGACACACCAUACACCAAACUGUAUAUAUAUUGCUGAUGACAUUACAUGUACCUAUACGUCGUAUAUAUUGUAAGUACACGUACAUAAACAAGAAAGAAUGUCGGAAUGUCUACUUCCUGUACACAGGAAGCGUUCGGUCACAUCACACACUUCGAUUGUUCACAAAGGUUAUAAAGGAACGAUUGUCGCAAAAACUACCUAUAUGUGCACUGUCAAUUGGCAUUAAACCACACAGACAUGUUAUUAAAAGUGUCAUCAACUGCCUAUAUACGUAUGUACGGUUUACAGUACUUUCAGCUUAAAAGCCGAAGAAUGCACUCCGAGUGGUUAAUAAAGCAGUAAGCCGCUUAUGUAUACAUGCGAGCAACUGCACUAAAAAUAUAUCCACUUCGAUACCCAAUAUCAGUAACGACCUUUUUAUGUAUACCAUAAUCAAAUAUAUAUUGUUUAUUUCUAAAUACCUCCGGUAUCGUAAAAAUAAUAAUUUAUAGUCAACCUGCUACAAUAUGCAUGACAAUACUUAAACAUACAUAUUUUAAGUUAUACGCCUAACAUAUACUCAGAUAUUAUAUAAUAUCAAUCAUAUAC